rnacentral:rRNA from 1 species
GACUAACGCUAGCGACAGGCCUAACACAUGCAAGUCGAGGGGCAGCACAUGAGUAGCAAUACGAUGGUGGCGACCGGCGCACGGGUGAGUAACACGUAUGCAACCUACCUGUAAGAGGGGAAUAACCCGGAGAAAUUCGGACUAAUACCGCAUAACACUGCCAUACCGCAUGGUAUAGCAGUUAAACAUUUAUGGUUUACAGCAGGGCAUGCGUAUGAUUAGAUAGUUGGUGAGGUAACGGCUCACCAAGUCAACGAUCAUUAGGGGUUCUGAGAGGAAGGUCCCCCACACUGGUACUGAGACACGGACCAGACUCCUACGGGAGGCAGCAGUGAGGAAUAUUGGUCAAUGGGCGAGAGCCUGAACCAGCCAAGUCGCGUGAAGGAAGAAGGUUCUAUGGAUUGUAAACUUCUUUUGUAAGGGAAUAAAAAGAGUUACGUGUAACUUAUUGUAUGUACUUUACGAAUAAGGAUCGGCUAACUCCGUGCCAGCAGCCGCCGUAA